CAAAAUCGCUUAAUCUAAAAGAGCGGGGGAACCAAUCAGGGGCAUAUAAUUGCCUUUUGGGGUGAAUCCUUUUAAAAGGUAGGGCAAACUCUCAUGAGCCCGAAUCCGUCAGCUAACCUCGUAAGCGUUAAGAGAGAGGG
rnacentral:sRNA from 1 species